rnacentral:rRNA from 1 species
UACGAAGGGGGCUAGCGUUGUUCGGAAUUACUGGGCGUAAAGAGCGCGUAGGCGGUCCGGUAAGUCGGUUGUGAAAACUGGGGGCUCAACCCUCAGAGGCCGACCGAUACUGCCGGGCUAGAGUCCGGAAGAGGCGAGUGGAAUUCCUGGUGUAGCGGUGAAAUGCGCAGAUAUCAGGAGGAACACCGAUUGCGAAGGCAGCUCGCUGGAACGUUACUGACGCUGAGACGCGAAAGCGUGGGGAGCAAACAGG